rnacentral:tRNA from 1 species
GCCUGGCUGGCUCAGUUGGUAAAGCAUGUGGCUCCUGACCUCAGGGUUGUAAGUUCGAGCCCAUGUUGGGCA